rnacentral:RNase_P_RNA from 1 species
UUUGUAGGGAAGCUCAUCAGUGGGGCUAGGAGCUGAGUGCGCUUAGUCAUUCUAUCCCAUGUCCCUUGGAAGGUCUAAGACUAGGGCCAUAGAGCAGCCCUAACAGGGCCUUCUCUGAGCUUCAGGGUGGUGUUUCCAGAGAACGGGGCUCCGAGCGAGGGCAGACUGGGCAGGAGAUGCUAUGGACCCCACCCUUGCAGAGGGACCUGGCGGAUGCCUCUUUAGCCGGAGCUUGGAACAAACUCACGGCCAGUGAAGUGAGUUCAAUGGCUGAGGUGACGUACCUGGCCUGGGGGCCUCCUAACCCAAUUCAGACUACUCCCACCCGUA